UACGAAGGGGGCUAGCGUUGCUCGGAAUUACUGGGCGUAAAGGGCGCGUAGGCGGACAGUUUAGUCAGAGGUGAAAGCCCAGGGCUCAACCUUGGAACUGCCUUUGAUACUGGCUGUCUUGAGUACGGGAGAGGUGUGUGGAACUCCGAGUGUAGAGGUGAAAUUCGUAGAUAUUCGGAAGAACACCAGUGGCGAAGGCGACACACUGGCCCGUUACUGACGCUGAGGCGCGAAAGCGUGGGGAGCAAACAGG
rnacentral:rRNA from 2 species